rnacentral:lncRNA from 1 species
CUUCAGGUUCCUCUUGUUGACAAUGAGGAUAACAGGUACACCGGCUGUUCAGGGUUGCGUGGUCAUGCAAUGAUGUCCCUGUAAAUCACAGGGCACAAAGCUGGAUGCAUGUUAAGGGCUCCAUCAGAUUGGCCACUUACGUUUGCUCUAAGACGUACCUUGUAAGUUUCCAUUGUGAUCGAAGUCACUAGGCUCCACCAGAAACGCAGGGCUGGUACACAGGCAUUCAUAUUUAAAAACCAUUUCCCCCAGGAGAUUCUACAUGCCUGAUCCGAUUCAACUCCCUCAUUUACAGAAAGACAAAGUCUGUACCUCCCUGAGCAGCUGUGGAUUAAGAGAUGUGAUGAUGGUGGGGCUAGAGAUAUGGCUCAACGGUGAAAAGACUUGUAUUCGGCUCCCAACAUCCUCUUCAAGGUCCCAAGCAGCUCUGUACAGGGAAGAUGCACAUCUGCCUUCUGUGAGGCUGAGGGGCACGAAAAGAGUCUGGCUGCUGAAAUCUCAAGAAUGCUGGGUCUCUCCUAAGGCAUCUGGGAGCCAUGUCCUUGGGCAGAUGACUGUAGACGUCAGCAGCCUCCACACCAGCAAGGAGAAAACCGGGGAACUCAGUAUCCCAGACUCCAUCUCCUCUCCUCUCCAUUCUCUUGCCUCUGUUUUGGUAGGCCAAACAUUAUUGAUUGCAGAUGAUCCCAUUCUCAGAGGCCAACCUGCAGAGAGGGACAACUGAAGCAGGAUGAAAAAGCCUGGCAAGUUGGUUAAGGUGAUCAUCAUGGCAAAAGCCAUGGUCGUCUUCUCUCCACACUUUACCCCUGAGCCCAAUUUCUGCCCUCUCCUAAAGUCAUGUUGAAAUUUAACUGCAAUUAUCAGAGUAUUAAGAGGUAGGGACCUCAGAGGUGUUUCUGUCAGGAGUGCAGUGUCCUGCAAAAGAGAUGAGCACAGCAAUCGCAGGAUGCUGGCUGGGUCUCCUCCCGGUCCUGUACUCUGUCAUGGAAGAUGCAACAAGGCCCUUGGUUUUGGUCUCAGAAAGACAAACAUCAUGGUUUUGGCUUGGGUUGGGUUGGUUUUAUGUUUGUUUGUUUUGUUGUUGUUGGUGGUGGUGGUGGUGCUUUUUGUUGUUUUGUUUUGUUUGUUUUGUGGCACCUGAACCUUAUUGCUCCAAUUCAUACUGAUGACAUGAAUUUCUGAGGCAACAAAAAAGACCAGUGGGAAGGGGAAAAGGGUGAAAGGAUAGAACAAGCUCCAAAUACGUUCUAUACACGCAUGCCCAGGCAUGGUGGUAUACACCUUUAUUGUCAACAUUCUGGAGGCAGAGGCAGGCAGAUCACUGUUUGAGGUUAACCUGGUCUACACCAAAAGUUCCUGGCAACCAAGACUACACAGAAAGACCUUGUCUCAGAAGACAACACCAAUAAGCUAUAUGUUUACAUCUAAAGAGCCUUAUAUAACCCUGAAAGAGAAGAUUACUAGAUAUGGACCCACAAUUUCGACCUCCAAACACCAGUCAAAUAAACUCUUAUUGCUUAUAAUUUACCCA